rnacentral:rRNA from 1 species
GCAUAUCCCAAAAAGCGGAGGAAAAGAAACUAACAAGGAUUCCCCUAGUAACUGCGAGUGAAGCGGGAAAAGCUCAAUAUUGUAAUCCGUCGCCCGACGGAGUUGUAGACUAGAGGCGUUUUCGGCCGCUGACUUGGAAAAGUCCCUUGGAACAGGGCGUCAUAGAGGGUGAUAAUCCCGUCUUUGCCAAGAACCCAGCGUCUAUGUGAUACGUUCUCGAGGAGUCGAGUUGUUUGGGAAUGCAGCUCAAAAGGGGUGGUAAAUUCCAUCCAAAGCUAAAUAUUGGCGAGAGACCGAUAGCGAACAAGUACCGUGAGGGAAAGAUGAAAAGCACUUUGGAAAGAGGGUUAAACAGUACGUGAAAUUGCUAAAAGGGAAGCGCUUGAAGUCAGUCGCGUGCCCAGCGGUUUGGCCUUCGGACCAGACCCGUUGGGCACGGGCCAGCAUCAAUUUUGGGCGCGGGAAAAGGGCUUGGGGAAUGUGGCAGCCUCGGCUGUGUUAUAGCCCCUUGUCGUACACCGCGCCUGGGAUUGAGGACCGCGGCAGGGGAGUGCCUAGGAUGCUGGCGUAAUGGCUUUAAGCGACCCGUCUUGAAACCACGGACC